CAGCCGCCACGGUAAUACAGAGGGUGCGAGCGUUAAUCGGAUUUACUGGGCGUAAAGCGUGCGUAGGCGGCUAAUUGAGUCGGAUGUGAAAUCCCCGUGCUUAACUUGGGAAUUGCAUUCGAUACUGGUUAGCUAGAGUGUGGGAGAGGAUGGUAGAAUUCCAGGUGUAGCGGUGAAAUGCGUAGAGAUCUGGAGGAAUACCGAUGGCGAAGGCAGCCAUCUGGCCUAACACUGACGCUGAGGUACGAAAGCAUGGGGAGCAAACAGGAUUAGAUACCCGCGUAGUCCCUGUCUCUUAUAC
rnacentral:rRNA from 1 species